rnacentral:misc_RNA from 1 species
GAUGAAGAACGUAGUGAAAUGCGAUAAGUAAUGUGAAUUGCAGAAUUCAGUGAAUCAUCGAAUCUUUGAACGCACAUUGCGCCCAUUAGUAUUCUAGUGGGCAUGCCUGUUCGAGCGUCAUUAAGUCCACUUAAGCCCUGCUUAGUGUUGGGAGACUGCUCCAGCGGUGCUACCCUGUAGCUACCCUGCAGCUCCUCAAAGACAGCGGCGGAGUCGUGGUAUCCUCUGAGCUUAGUAACUUGUUCUAGCUUUCGAGUACACCACUUCCCCUGCCGUAAAACCCUUAAUUUUUAAUGGUUGACCUCGGAUCAGGUAGGAAUACCCGCUGAACUUAAGCAUAUCAAUAAGCGGAGGA